rnacentral:rRNA from 1 species
AACGCGAAGAACCUUACCUGGGCUCGAAAUGUACGGGACCGUCGUAGAAAUACGAUCUCCUAGCAAUAGGUCCGUAUAUAGGUGCUGCAUGGCUGUCGUCAGCUCGUGUCGUGAGAUGUUGGGUUAAGUCCCGCAACGAGCGCAACCCUUAUCUCCAGUUGCUACCAUUUAGUUGAGCACUCUGGCGAAACCGCCUCGGAUAACGGGGAGGAAGGUGGGGAUGACGUCAAGUCCUCAUGGCCUUUAUGUCCAGGGCUACACACGUGCUACAAUGGCCGGUACAAACCGCUGCAACCCCGCGAGGGUGAGCUAAUCGGAAAAAAGCGCGCUCAGUUCGGAUUGCAGUCUGCAACUCGACUGCAUGAAGCCGGAAUCGCUAGUAAUGGCGCAUCAGAACGGCGCCGUGAAUACGUUCCCGGGCCUUGUACACACCGACUGUAC